rnacentral:rRNA from 1 species
GACGUAGGGCGCGAGCGUUGUCCGGAUUUAUUGGGCGUAAAGAGCUCGUAGGCGGCUUGUUGCGUCGACUGUGAAAACCCGCGGCUUAACCGCGGGCUUGCAGUUGAUACGGGCAGGCUAGAGUUCGGUAGGGGAGACUGGAAUUCCUGGUGUAGCGGUGAAAUGCGCAGAUAUCAGGAAGAACACCCGUGGCUAAGGCGGCUCUCUAGUACGGUACUGACGCUGAGACGCGAAAGCGUGGGGAGCGAACAGG